rnacentral:rRNA from 1 species
AACGCGAAGAACCUUACCUGGGUUAAAUCCCAGUUGUAACGCACAGAGAUGUGCGCCCCUCGCAAGAGGCGGCUGGGAAGGUGCUGCAUGGCUGUCGUCAGCUCGUGUCGUGAGAUGUUGGGUUAAGUCCCGCAACGAGCGCAACCCUUACCACUAGUUGCCAGCACUUAGUUGGGCACUCUAGCGGAACUGCCGGUGAUAAACCGGAGGAAGGUGGGGAUGACGUCAAGUCAUCAUGGCCUCUAUGUCCAGGGCUACACACGUGCUACAAUGGCCGGUACAAACCGCCGCGAACUCGCGAGAGGGAGCCAAUCGGAAAAAGCUGGUCUCAGUUCGGAUUGGAGUCUGCAACUCGACUCCAUGAAGUUGGAAUCGCUAGUAAUCGCAGAUCAGCACGCUGCGGUGAAUACGUUCCCGGGUCUUGUACACACCG